CCUACGGGGGGCAGCAGUGAGGAAUAUUGGUCAAUGGGCGGGAGCCUGAACCAGCCAAGUCGCGUGAGGGAAGACGGUCCUACGGAUUGUAAACCUCUUUUGCCGGGGAGCAACGGGGUCCUUGCGAGGGCCCAAUGAGAGUACCCGGAGAAAAAGCAUCGGCUAACUCCGUGCCAGCAGCCGCGGUAAUACGGAGGAUCCGAGCGUUAUCCGGAUUCAUUGGGUUUAAAGGGUGCGUAGGUUGUUUUAUAAGUUAGCGGUGAAAUACCGAUGCUCAACAUCGGGGCUGCCGCUGAUACUGUAGGACUAGAGAUCGGAUGCAGCAGGCGGAAUGUGUAGUGUAGCGGUGAAAUGCAUAGAUAUUACACAGAACACCGAUUGCGAAGGCAGCUUGCUAGACCGGAUCUGACACUGAUGCACGAAAGCGUGGGGAUCGAACAGGAUUAGAUACCCUGGUAGUC
rnacentral:rRNA from 1 species